rnacentral:rRNA from 1 species
CUCUCGGCAACGGAUAUCUAGGCUCUCGCAUCGAUGAAGAACGUAGCAAAAUGCGAUACUUGGUGUGAAUUGCAGAAUCCCGCGAAUCAUCGAGUUUUUGAACGCAAGUUGCGCCCGAAGCCAUUCGGCCGAGGGCACGUCUGCCUGGGUGUCACGCAUCGUUGC